CUCCGGCUCCCUCACCAGCUGGGAACCGUCUCCGUGGCUCUGCCCUCGCCAUCCGUGCAACCGGCGGAGGUGUUGGAACGGCUCUCCCACCAGUUGGGCUCAGCCUGGUCAGUGAAGCAGCCUGACACGUGCGCUGGUCCCCUUGCAGACCCAGACGCGCCCCGGGAGGGGAGGCCGCGGCUGUUGAGGGGCCGGGACGCGGGUGGGACGCCUGAGGGCCUGGGCCCCCGCCCCUCCACUGCGAGCCGAGCAGGCAGCUUCGCAAGGCCUGAUUUGUCAUAGAGAAGAAGGUCACUCUUUGCAAGGCUAAACUAAAACCAUUUACAGUUUUUCUGCACGUAGUUUAUAGAGAUCGCUAGAGUCCUUCUUUUUAUAGUUCUUUUACUUCUUUGAUAAAAGAAGAAGGAGUCAGGUAAUUUGAACUCCAAGACCAAGAAAUAAUCUUGCAACAAGAUGACGGGUUGUGACCAACUCUGGCAUCCUGGAGACAGACACUCGCCACCUUGGUGUCGUAAGUGUGGGCACCGUUUUCUGGAGCCCUGGGGUGAACGGCUCACGGCUUACACUUUGCCCAGCCCUUUGGCAUCGGUCGAGGGGCUGGUUUGAUGAUCUGACCUCUUUCGGUCUCUGGAUAUUUGUUAAAAUAGAUCCUUAAUUUUUCUUCAAUAGAAAAUACCACUCAGCGUUCAAAGCCAACAGUAAUUUUUCGGUCCCAGAUAUUCAGAGCAGAUAGAUAACUGUAACCCUGAUGCUCCUUGAAGCUUCAUUAUUCGCCGAUCAGUUUAUUUCCACGUGGGACACGCAGGAGAGCCGCCACAGACACUGGGACCUGAGGACCCUGCAGCUGCCACCACGAGCGGCUCACUUCACAAGUGCCAGCCUGGCCCCACCUGCAAGCUGGGUUCUCCGCUUCCACGCUGGUUACCAAGGUAGUUUUUCUUCUGGUGGUGGGGGUGUGUGUGUGUGUGUGUGCAAAACACAGACCAAAGUGAAACCCUAGAGCUGGGCCGCAGCUGGGAGGGCCGAGAGCAGCCACUGGGGGUCCUGGACAGGCCCCAGCGCCUCCCAGGGCCGCGAGCAGCUCGGACCCGAGGGCCAGCAGGGCGGAGACAGCCGGGCUGCGCUGGGCCAGGGUCGUCCUGCUCUGUCUGCUCCAGGCUUGUCACUCGGGCGCCUUUUUCUUAACACUAAAUUCACUUUAUUUUGUACUUUUAAAAGCUGAGUAUUUCCCCUGAGCCAACAUAACCCCAGCCGUUCCGUCGAGCUGGAGGUUUCCCUGCGGGAGGGCACCUCCUGGCAGGUGGCCAGCCAGCAUGGACCGUGCAUCCCGCCGGCUCAGGCGGGGGCACAGGAGUGCGGCCCUGUGCUGUGUGUCAGGGCACACAGGCUUUGGCUCCAGCUCAGGGCAGGUCCAGGGGCUCGCCUCCAACACCUGACUUCAGGAGGGCUCUGGAGGGGGCUGAGACGGGCUGCCAGGAGGCCCCACUAUGUGAUCUGUGGCCUCCACCAUGAGUGGUGACAGAGCCUGGUGGCCUCCUCAGCGGCCUGGGCGCUUCGAGGGGGCUCUCGGGGCUGCGGUGCACCAGAGCUGCUGAACUCUCUGUCCUGGGCGCCCCACCCCCUCUGUUCAGUGCCUUGUUCAGUGCCUUGUUCCCAGGGCGGCCUCCCACAGCCUUGGGGAGACACAGGGGGUCUCCCCACCACCGUCUGUCCAACUGCCCUCAAAAGCAGCCCUCACCGUGGGCAGAGAGCCCUGCCACCCAGGGGUCUUGGGAAAGUGUUUGCAACCAGGCUUGGCCUGACAGCCAGACUAACAAAGCCGGGCCUCUGUGGCUUCCCUCCUCCCCCGGGCUGUCCGGAUGAACCUGGAGCCUUUUCCAG
ensembl:lncRNA